AAGUCGUAACAAGGUUUCCUUUCGUAUGCUCAUAUACUGAGACCUUGCCCCCACACAACCGAAGUAGAAGGAAAAUUACAGGCCUUUACAGGCCUGUAAUCACCUACAGCGAACCCCCUAAGGGGCCCGUCUACAGACUAAGUGGUUGUGGGCAGAGCCUGGAGCUCUGCUUAAGAUAUAGUCGAUACCCACGCUUCGCAGCCUGGGAUAGCUAGUCCGUAGGUGAACCUGCGGAAGGAUCAUUACUGAGAUUUGUCCUCCGGGACAGACCUCCAACCCUAUGUUUACUUAUACCAUGUUGCUUCGGCAGGCCCGUUCUUCGGGACCGCCGGCUACUCUGUAGCUGGCCAGCGCCUGUCAGAAGACCUAUAAAACUCGUUUUGUCAGUGUCGUCUGAGUCUAAUUUUAAUAAAUUAAAACUUUCAACAACGGAUCUCUUGGUUCUG
rnacentral:misc_RNA from 1 species